GGGUCAGUAGGUUGGUCGUGCCACCGGUACGUACUGGUCUCACUGAUUCCUCCUUCCUGAAGAACCGUAAUGCCAUUAAUUUGGUGUUGCGGGGAAACAGGACUGUUACUUUGAAAAAAUUAGAGUGUUUAAAGCAAGCUAACGCUUGAAUACAUUAGCAUGGGGUAAUGGAAUAGGACGAUCGAUCCUAUUUUGUUGGUUUCUAGGAUUGACGUA
rnacentral:rRNA from 1 species